GACAAAAGGGGUGCUUGCUAUGCAGGCUGAGAUGAUACCCGGGAGUUCCCUCCACACCUGAUCCGGAUAAUGCCGGCGUAGGGAAAUA
rnacentral:ncRNA from 1 species